CAAUAGCGUAUAUUAAAGCUGUUGCGGUUAAAAAGCUCGUAGUUGGAUUUCUGUCAAGGACAACUGGUCCGCCCUCCGGGUGAGCACAUAGUUUGGUCUUGGCAUCUUGCUGGAAGCUGUUGCUGCACUUGGCUGUGUGGCGCAGCGUCCAGCACUUUCACUUUGAGGAAAUUGGAGUGUUUCAAGCAGGCACAUGCCUUUGGACACAGUAGCAUGGAAUAAUUAGAUUGGGCUUUUGCUCCAAUUCGUCGGUUUCUGGAGCUGAGGUGAGAAUUAAUGGGGAUUGUUGGGGGCAUCCGAAUUUAGCCGUCAGAGGUGAAAUUCUUGGAUCUGCUAAAGACGGACAACUGCGAAAGCGUUUGCCCAGGAUGUUUUCAUUGA
rnacentral:rRNA from 1 species